AUUGAACGCUGGCGGCAGGCUUAACACAUGCAAGUCGAGCGGGGUGAUGGUGCUUGCACUAUCACUUAGCGGCGGACGGGUGAGUAAUGCUUAGGAAUCUGCCUAUUGGUGGGGGACAACAUUCCGAAAGGGGUGCUAAUACUGCAUACGCCCUACGGGGGAAAGCAGGGGAUCUUCGGACCUUGCGCGAAUAGAUGAGCCUAAGUCGGAUUAGCUAGUUGGUGGGGUAAAGGCCUACCAAGGCGACGAUCUGUAGCGGGUCUGAGAGGAUGAUCCGCCACACUGGGACUGGGACACGGCCCAGACUCCUACGGGAGGCAGCAGUGGGGAAUAUUGGACAAUGGGCGGAAGCCUGAUCCAGCCAUGCCGCGUGUGUGAAGAAGGCCUUUUGGUUGUAAAGCACUUUAAGCGAGGAGGGGGCUACUAGUAUUAAUACUACUGGAUAGUGGACGUUACUCGCAGAAUAAGCACCGGCUAACUCUGUGCCAUCAGCCGCCGUAA
rnacentral:rRNA from 1 species